rnacentral:rRNA from 1 species
AGUGAACGCUGGCGGCGUGCCUAACACAUGCAAGUCGAACGAUGAUGGAGAGCUCGCUCUCCUGAUUAGUGGCGCACGGGUGAGUAUACCAUAGAUAAUGUACCUCUUAGUUCGGGAUAGCCACUGGAAACGGUGAUUAAUACCGGAUACUCCUUCUUGUCUUAAGACAAGUCGGGAAAGUUUUUUCGCUAAGAGAUCAGUCUAUGUCCUAUCAGCUAGUUGGUGAGGUAAUGGCUCACCAAGGCUAUGACGGGUAUCUGGUUUGAGAGGAUGAUCAGACACACUGGAACUGAGACACGGUCCAGACUCCUACGGGAGGCAGCAGUGAGGAAUAUUGCACAAUGGAGGAAACUCUGAUGCAGCAACGCCGCGUGGAGGAUGACGCAUUUCGGUGUGUAAACUCCUUUUAAGAGGGAAGAUAAUGACGGUACCUCUUGAAUAAGCACCGGCUAACUCCGUGCCAGCAGCCGCAGUAACAC